UGGGGAAUUUUGGACAAUGGGGGAAACCCUGAUCCAGCCAUCCCGCGUGUGCGAUGAAGGCCUUCGGGUUGUAAAGCACUUUUGGCAGGAAAGAAACGUCAUGGGUUAAUACCCCGUGAAACUGACGGUACCUGCAGAAUAAGCACCGGCUAACUACGUGCCAGCAGCCGCGGUAAUACGUAGGGUGCAAGCGUUAAUCGGAAUUACUGGGCGUAAAGCGUGCGCAGGCGGUUCGGAAAGAAAGAUGUGAAAUCCCAGAGCUCAACUUUGGAACUACAUUUUUAACUACCGGGCUAGAGUGUGUCAGAGGGAGGUGAAAUUGCGCGUGUAGCAGUGAAAUGCGUAGAUAUGCGGAAGGACACAGAUGGCGAAGGCAGCCUCCUGGGAUAACACUGACGCUCAUGCACGAGAGCGUGGGGAGCAAACAGG
rnacentral:rRNA from 1 species